GUUGGGUAGGGGAGCGUUCUGUAAGCCUGUGAAGGUGUGUCGUGAGGCAUGCUGGAGGUAUCAGAAGUGCGAAUGCUGACAUAAGUAACGAUAAAGCGGGUGAAAAGCCCGCUCGCCGGAAGACCAAGGGUUCCUGUCCAACGUUAAUCGGGGCAGGGUGAGUCGACCCCUAAGGCGAGGCCGAAAGGCGUAGUCGAUGGGAAACGGGUUAAUAUUCCCGUACUUGGUGUUACUGCGAAGGGGGGACGGAGAAGGCUAUGUUGGCCGGGCGACGGUUGUCCCGGUUUAAGCGUGUAGGUGUGUGUUCCAGGUAAAUCCGGUUCACUUUAACACUGAGGCGUGACGACGAGGCACUACGGUGCUGAAGCAACAAAUGCCCUGCUUCCAGGAAAAGCCUCUAAGCAUCAGGUAACAUCAAAUCGUACCCCAAACCGACACAGGUGGUCAGGUAGAGAAUACCAAGGCGCUUGAGAGAACUCGGGUGAAGGAACUAGGCAAAAUGGUGCCGUAACUUCGGGAGAAGGCACGCUGACACGUAGGUGAAGUGAUUUACUCAUGGAGCUGAAGUCAGUCGAAGAUACCAGCUGGCUGCAACUGUUUAUUAAAAACACAGCACUGUGCAAACACGAAAGUGGACGUAUACGGUGUGACGCCUGCCCGGUGCCGGAAGGUUAAUUGAUGGGGUCAGCGCAAGCGAAGCUCCUGAUCGAAGCCCCGGUAAACGGCGGCCGUAACUAUAACGGUCCUAAGGUAGCGAAAUUCCUUGUCGGGUAAGUUCCGACCUGCACGAAUGGCGUAAUGAUGGCCAGGCUGUCUCCACCCGAGACUCAGUGAAAUUGAACUCGCUGUGAAGAUGCAGUGUACCCGCGGCAAGACGGAAAGACCCCGUGAACCUUUACUAUAGCUUGACACUGAACAUUGAGCCUUGAUGUGUAGGAUAGGUGGGAGGCUUUGAAGUGUGGACGCCAGUCUGCAUGGAGCCGACCUUGAAAUACCACCCUUUAAUGUUUGAUGUUCUAACGUGGACCCGUUACCCGGGUUGCGGACAGUGUCUGGUGGGUAGUUUGACUGGGGCGGUCUCCUCCUAAAGAGUAACGGAGGAGCACGAAGGUUGGCUAAUCCUGGUCGGACAUCAGGAGGUUAGUGCAAUGGCAUAAGCCAGCUUGACUGCGAGCGUGACGGCGCGAGCAGGUGCGAAAGCAGGUCAUAGUGAUCCGGUGGUUCUGAAUGGAAGGGCCAUCGCUCAACGGAUAAAAGGUACUCCGGGGAUAACAGGCUGAUACCGCCCAAGAGUUCAUAUCGACGGCGGUGUUUGGCACCUCGAUGUCGGCUCAUCACAUCCUGGGGCUGAAGUAGGUCCCAAGGGUAUGGCUGUUCGCCAUUUAAAGUGGUACGCGAGCUGGGUUUAGAACGUCGUGAGACAGUUCGGUCCCUAUCUGCCGUGGGCGCUGGAGAACUGAGGGGGGCUGCUCCUAGUACGAGAGGACCGGAGUGGACGCAUCACUGGUGUUCGGGUUGUCAUGCCAAUGGCACUGCCCGGUAGCUAAAUGCGGAAGAGAUAAGUGCUGAAAGCAUCUAAGCACGAAACUUGCCCCGAGAUGAGUUCU
rnacentral:rRNA from 5 species